UACGGAGGAUGCAAGCGUUAUCCGGAAUGAUUGGGCGUAAAGCGUCCGCAGGUGGCUAUGUAAGUCUGCUGUUAAAGAGCAAAGCUUAACUUUGUAAAAGCAGUGGAAACUACAUAGCUAGAGUACGUUCGGGGCAGAGGGAAUUCCUGGUGUAGCGGUGAAAUGCGUAGAGAUCAGGAAGAACACCAGUGGCGAAGGCGCUCUGCUAGGCCGUAACUGACACUGAGGGACGAAAGCUAGGGGAGCGAAUGGG
rnacentral:rRNA from 1 species